CCUACGGGAGGCAGCAGUGGGGAAUAUUGCUCAAUGGGCGAAAGCCUGACGCAGCGACGCCGCGUGAGGGAUGAAGGCCCUCUGAUUUGAAACCUCUUUCUGCAGGGAAGUACGGUCACUGUGCUAUUCCUUAGUGCAUUGACGGUACCUGCAAAGGAAGCACCGGCUAACUCCGUGCCAGCAGCCGCGGUAAUACGGAGGGUGCGAGCGUUAAUUGGAAUUAUUGGGCGGAAAGCGAUCGCAGGCGGUAUGUCAAGUCAAGGGUGAAAUGCCCGGGCUCAACGUGGGAACUGCAUUUGAAACUGGCGAGCUUGAGUGUGUGAGAGGAUGGUGGAAUUCGAGGUGUAGGAGUGAAAUGCGUAGAUAUCUGGAGGAACAUCGGUGGCGAAGGCGGCUAUCUGGCGCAUAACUGACGCUGAGGAGCGAAAGCGUGGGUAGCAAACAGGAUUAGAUACCCUAGUAGUC
rnacentral:rRNA from 1 species